UCUUCCAUUCGUUUUAAAAUAGAAUUGGAUUUUGUUCGUGAAUGCUGGGCGCCGGGACAGCCUCCAGCGCCCGUUGCCCCGCGGCUCCAGGCUGGGUGCGGGGCAGGUUCGACGGGGCCCCGCGGCACCCCCGGGCCGCUCUAUCCUCUCGGAGGCGGUGACCCUUGCUCCGGAGCACCGGGACACGCUGCAGAGGAUGCUAACCCGGAGGGCUUGGGGGUCCCGGAGUGAGGAUCCCGGGCCAAGAGCCCCGCUCACGUCUCCCCGGUUGCAUCCCGGCGCGGCUCCCGUUAGAGGACGCGGGCAGGACCCGGGAGCGAGUCCCCUCUGCCGCCCUACCCGCGCCCUCCGCUGCCCCGCUCCGCCUCCCGCCCGGUCCCGCUCAGCCCCGCGGCCGCAGCUGCCCUGUCCCUGCGCCGCCGCUAAAAAUACCCGCCGGGCUGCCCUGGCCGCCCGCACCUCCCUCAGCCCCGCCGCCCUCUCCGCUCCCCUGCCCUGCCCUGCCGCAGGGCGGGAGCCUCCCGGCCUCGCCCGCCUCACCUGCCGGUGGCCGCCAGGCAGUUGAAGAGGUAAAGGAACCUCAAAACUUGGAGAGUACUUCUUGCAUGAAUUUCCACAGAAAAAAGGCACCAGGUCAGCAUGAGCUUGCUCAGGCCAUUAUGCAGACCUUGAAAAUGAGUUGCUCAAAAGUGUAGACACUCCCUGACCUUCUGUUUUGCUGGCUAGUGAUCAGGACAACCUUCACAGAUAUAUAAUAUAAUACUGUUGAACUUUUGUCUGCAGCCCUUGAUUUGUAGCCAUUCUGUUACAUGAGAUCAAACAAAAAGUUCUUGGGCCAAUUUGCACUGCUUACAUUAUACAAAUAUUUUUCUCUAUA